rnacentral:rRNA from 1 species
GACGAACCGUCCAAACGUUGUUCGGAAUCACUGGGCUUAAAGGGCGCGUAGGCGGGCCAGCAAGUCCGGGGUGAAAUCCUCCGGCUCAACCGGAGAACUGCCUUGGAUACCGCUGGUCUCGAGGGAGGUAGGGGUCUGUGGAACUGAUGGUGGAGCGGUGAAAUGCGUUGAUAUCAUCAGGAACGCCGGUGGCGAAAGCGACGGACUGGACCUCUUCUGACGCUGAGGCGCGAAAGCUAGGGGAGCAAACGGG